UGGGGAAUAUUGCACAAUGGGCGCAAGCCUGAUGCAGCCAUGCCGCGUGUAUGAAGAAGGCCUUCGGGUUGUUAAGUACUUUCAGCGGGGAGGAAGGUGUUGAGGCUAAUAACCUCAGCAAUUGACGUUACCCGCAGAAGAAGCACCGGCUAACUCCGUGCCAGCAGCCGCGGUAAUACGGAGGGGGCAAGCGUUAAUCGGAAUUACUGGGCGUAAAGCGCACGCAGGCGGUCUGUCAAGUCGGAUGUGAAAUCCCCGGGCUCAACCUGGGAACUGCAUUCGAAACUGGCAGGCUAGAGUCUUGUAGAGGGGGGUAGAAUUCCAGGUGUAGCGGUGAAAUGCGUAGAGAUCUGGAGGAAUACCGGUGGCGAAGGCGGCCCCCUGGACAAAGACUGACGCUCAGGUGCGAAAGCGUGGGGAGCAAACA
rnacentral:rRNA from 1 species